UACGUAGGGGGCAAGCGUUGUUCGGAUAUACUGGGCGUAAAGCGCACGUAGGCGGCGCAGCAAGUCAGGGGUGAAAUCCCGGAGCUCAACUCCGGAACUGCCUUUGAAACUGCAGUGCUAGAAUUCUGGAGAGGCGAGUGGAAUUCCGAGUGUAGAGGUGAAAUUCGUAGAUAUUCGGAAGAACACCAGUGGCGAAGGCGACUCGCUGGACAGACAUUGACGCUGAGGUGCGAAAACGUGGGGAGCAAACAGG
rnacentral:rRNA from 1 species